rnacentral:rRNA from 1 species
GACGAACGCUGGCGGCGUGCCUAAUACAUGCAAGUAGAACGCUGAAGGAGGAGCUUGCUUCUCUGGAUGAGUUGCGAACGGGUGAGUAACGCGUAGGUAACCUGCCUGGUAGCGGGGGAUAACUAUUGGAAACGAUAGCUAAUACCGCAUAAGAGUAGAUGUUGCAUGACAUUUGCUUAAAAGGUGCAAUUGCAUCACUA